ACCGUUCACGACCAAGAAAGCCGACGGAAAGCUAGAGAACAAGCUGCCAGACUGAAGAAGAUUGAGGAGGAUGAGAAGAGAAAGAAAGCAGAGUUUAGGAAAAAGAUGGAGAAGGAGGUGUCAGAGUUCAUCCAGGACAGCACACUGAAGAA